rnacentral:tRNA from 1 species
CGCGGGACAGCCGGGGGUCGUCGCGGCCCUCGAUGCCGCCGGUGCGGGUGUUCUCAGCCAUUGCGUCUCCUCAGUUCGAUGCCGGCGCCUGCGAC